rnacentral:rRNA from 1 species
CACGCGGUAAACGAUGAGUGCUAGGUGUAGGGGGUAUCGACCCCUCCUGUGCCGGAGUUAACACAAUAAGCACUCCGCCUGGGGAGUACGGCCGCAAGGUUGAAACUCAAAGGAAUUGACGGGGGCCCGCACAAGCAGCGGAGCAUGUGGUUUAAUUCGAAGCAACGCGAAGAACCUUACCAGGUCUUGACAUUGAAGUAAAGCUACAGAGAUGUAGUGUGCCGCAAGGCGAUUGAAAACAGGUGG